rnacentral:rRNA from 1 species
GGCGCUGUCUCCAGCAGAGGCUCAGUGAAAUCGAAAUCGCUGUGAAGAUGCAGUGUACCCGCGGCUAGACGGAAAGACCCCGUGAACCUUUACUGCAGCUUGACACUGAACUUUGACCUUACUUGUGUAGGAUAGGUGGGAGGCUUUGAAGCUGGAACGCUAGUUCCAGUGGAGCCGUCCUUGAAAUACCACCCUGGUAAUGUUGAGGUUCUAACUCUGUCCCGUGAUCCGGGACGAGGACCGUGUCUGGUGGGUAGUUUGACUGGGGCGGUCUCCUCCUAAAGAGUAACGGAGGAGUACGAAGGUGCGCUCAGCGUGGUCGGAAAUCACGCGUAGAGUAUAAAGGCAAAAGCGCGCUUAACUGCGAGACCCACAAGUCGAGCAGGUACGAAAGUAGGUCUUAGUGAUCCGGUGGUUCUGUAUGGAAGGGCCAUCGCUCAACGGAUAAAAGGUACUCUGGGGAUAACAGGCUGAUACCGCCCAAGAGUUCAUAUCGACGGCGGUGUUUGGCACCUCGAUGUCGGCUCAUCUCAUCCUGGGGCUGAAGCAGGUCCCAAGGGUAUGGCUGUUCGCCAUUUAAAGAGGUACGCGAGCUGGGUUUAGAACGUCGUGAGACAGUUCGGUCCCUAUCUACCGUGGGCGCUGGAAAUUUGAGAGGAUCUGCUCCUAGUACGAGAGGACCAGAGUGGACGAACCUCUGGUGUACCGGUUGUGACGCCAGUCGCAUCGCCGGGUAGCUAUGUUCGGAAGGGAUAACCGCUGAAAGCAUCUAAGCGGGAAGCCUACCUCAAGAUAAGAUUUCCCUAGGACUUUAUGUCCUCUAAAGAGCCGUUCGAGACUAGGACGUUGAUAGGUUGGAUGUGGAAGCAUAGUGAUAUGUGAAGCUGACCAAUACUAAUUGCUCGUGAGGCUUGACUAU